UCCGCAAAUUAAUAGUUUUGUAUCUAAAACAAAGUUUUCAGAUAGCCAGUUAAGGUUAUGGAAUAAGGUUUUUCUACAUAAUGUGUAUUUUGGGCAAACGAAGAAGUAAUGGUAGACAUCCUCAAUAUCGGACCCACAAUGGCAAGAAGGAUCAUCUAUAAUAUUAGCUCUAAAUAGGUCAUUGUUUAAGAAUGAAGCGGAACAUCGCAAUUGCGUUAAUAUUAUAUUUAAUUUCCUUGGGCCGUACAAAUAAAACGUUUCAAUUUUACAUAAUAGACUAUCGUUUUUUAAUUCUUUCUUAAAUUUAGAAAAAGAGUCGACACUGCGAAUGUUUGGAUCAAGUUUAUUCCAUUCACGUAUAGUAGAGGGAAUAAACGAUUCAGUAGUAAGGGAAAGUCUACAAAAUGGAACAAUAAUAUCAUG
rnacentral:lncRNA from 1 species